AGCUUGCUACCUGACCUAGCGGCGGACGGGUGAGUAAUGCUUAGGAAUCUGCCUAUUAGUGGGGGACAACAUUCCGAAAGGAAUGCUAAUACCGCAUACGCCCUACGGGGGAAAGCAGGGGAUCUUCGGACCUUGCGCUAAUAGAUGAGCCUAAGUCAGAUUAGCUAGUUGGUGGGGUAAAGGCCUACCAAGGCGACGAUCUGUAGCGGGUCUGAGAGGAUGAUCCGCCACACUGGGACUGAGACACGGCCCAGACUCCUACGGGAGGCAGCAGUGGGGAAUAUUGGACAAUGGGCGAAAGCCUGAUCCAGCCAUGCCGCGUGUGUGAAGAAGGCCUUUUGGUUGUAAAGCACUUUAAGCGAGGAGGAGGCUACUUGGAUUAAUACUCUAGGAUAGUGGACGUUACUCGCAGAAUAAGCACCGGCUAACUCUGUGCCAGCAGCCGCGGUAAUACAGAGGGUGCGAGCGUUAAUCGGAUUUACUGGGCGUAAAGCGUGCGUAGGCGGCUUUUUAAGUCGGAUGUGAAAUCCCUGAGCUUAACUUAGGAAUUGCAUUCGAUACUGGGAAGCUAGAGUAUGGGAGAGGAUGGUAGAAUUCCAGGUGUAGCGGUGAAAUGCGUAGAGAUCUGGAGGAAUACCGAUGGCGAAGGCAGCCAUCUGGCCUAAUACUGACGCUGAGGUACGAAAGCAUGGGGAGCAAACAGGAUUAGAUACCCUGGUAGUCCAUGCCGUAAACGAUGUCUACUAGCCGUUGGGGCCUUUGAGGCUUUAGUGGCGCAGCUAACGCGAUAAGUAGACCGCCUGGGGAGUACGGUCGCAAGACUAAAACUCAAAUGAAUUGACGGGGGCCCGCACAAGCGGUGGAGCAUGUGGUUUAAUUCGAUGCAACGCGAAGAACCUUACCUGGUCUUGACAUAGUAAGAACUUUCCAGAGAUGGAUUGGUGCCUUCGGGAACUUACAUACAGGUGCUGCAUGGCUGUCGUCAGCUCGUGUCGUGAGAUGUUGGGUUAAGUCCCGCAACGAGCGCGACCCUUUUCCUUAUUUGCCAGCGGGUUAAGCCGGGAACUUUAAGGAUACUGCCAGUGACAAACUGGAGGAAGGCGGGGACGACGUCAAGUCAUCAUGGCCCUUACGACCAGGGCUACACACGUGCUACAAUGGUCGGUACAAAGGGUUGCUACCUAGCGAUAGGGUGCUAAUCUCAAAAAGCCGAUCGUAGUCCGGAUUGGAGUCUGCAACUCGACUCCAUGAAGUCG
rnacentral:rRNA from 1 species